GACAGAGGCCUCGAGCGUUAGGCGGAAUCACUGGGCUUAAAGCGUGUGUAGGCGGACGCCUAAGUACCUUGUGAAAUCCCACGGCUCACCCGUGGAACCGCUGGGUAUACUGGGUGUCUUGGGCCAUUCAGGGGCGACUGGAACAAGCGGUGGAGCGGUGAAAUGCGUAGAUAUCGCUUGGAACGCCGACGGUGAAAACAGGUCGCUGGGAAUGUGCCGACGCUGAGACACGAAAGCCAGGGGAGCAAACGGG
rnacentral:rRNA from 1 species